rnacentral:rRNA from 1 species
ACUCCUACGGGAGGCAGCAGUGGGGAAUAUUGCGCAAUGGGCGAAAGCCUGACGCAGCGACGCCGUGUGAGUGAUGAAGGCCCUCGGGUCGUAAAGCUCUGUCAGGGGGACGGAAACCAUCCACGAGUUAAUAUCUCAGUGGACUUGACGGUACCUCCAAAGGAAGCACCGGCUAACUCCGUGCCAGCAGCCGCGGUAAUACGGAGGGUGCGAGCGUUGUUCGGAAUUACUGGGCGUAAAGCGUACGCAGGCGGUUUGUUAAGCGAGAUGUGAAAGCCCCGGGCUCAAGCCUGGGAACUGGCAUUUCGAACUGGCAAAUCUAGAGUG